rnacentral:rRNA from 1 species
GAUGAACGCUGGCGACGUGCCUAAUGCAUGCAAGUCGCACGCACGUCUUUCGGGACGUGAGUGGCGGACGGCUGAGGAACACGUGGGUAUCUGCCUUUCAGUGGGGGACAACGGGCCGAAAGGUCCGCUAAUCCCGCAUACGUUCUCCUUUGGAGAAGAAAGCCGUAAGGCGCUGGAAGAGGAGCCUGCGGCCCAUCAGGUAGUUGGCGGGGUAACAGCCCACCAAGCCGAUGACGGGUCCCUGGUCUGAGAGGACGACCAGGCAGACUGGGACUGAGACACGGCCCAGACUCCUACGGGAGGCAGCAGCAAGGAAUUUUCGGCAAUGGGCGCAAGCCUGACCGAGCAACGUCGCGUGGAGGAUGACGGCUUUCGGGUUGUAAACUCCUUUUGUGGGGGAUGACAUCGACAGUACCCCGCGAAUAAGCCCCGGCUAACUCCGUGCCAGCAGCCGCCGUAACAC